rnacentral:rRNA from 1 species
AAUUCAGGAGGAACACCGAUGGCGAAGGCCAUCUCUGGGCCGUAACUGACGCUGAGGAGCGAAAGGGUGGGGAGCAAACAGGCUUAGAUACCCUGGUAUUCCACCCCGUAAACGUUGGGAACUAGUUGUGGGGUCCAUUCCACGGAUUCCGUGACGCACCUAACGCAUUAAGUUCCCCGCCUGGGGAGUACGGCCGCAGGGCUAAAACUCAAAGGAAUUGACGGGGACCCGCACAACCGGCGGAGCAUGCGGAUUAAUUCGAUGCAACGCGAAGAACCUUACCAAGGCUUGACAUAUACGAGAACGGGCCAGAAAUGGUCAACUCUUUGGACACUCCUAAACAGGUGGUGCAUGGUUGUCGUCACCUCGUGUCGUGAGAUGUUGGGUUAACUCCCGCAACGAGCGCAACCCUCGUUCUAUGUUGCCUGCACGUAAUGGUGGGAACUCAUGGGAUACUGCCGGGGUCAACUCGGAGGAAGGUGGGGGAUGACUCCCAAAUCCACCAUGCCCCCUUAUGUCUUGGGCUUCACGCAUGCUACAAUGGCCGGU